GUAGGCAGCGAGCGUUGUUCGGAAUUACUGGGCGUAAAGAGUGUGUAGGCGGUGCUCCCAGUCUGUUGUGAAAUCUCCCGGCUUAACUGGGAGGGUGCAGCGGAAACUAGAGUGCUAGAGGGUGGGAGAGGUAAGCGGAAUUCCUGGUGUAGCGGUGAAAUGCGUAGAUAUCAGGAGGAACACCUGUGGUGUAGACAGCUUACUGGACCACUUCUGACGCUGAGACACGAAAGCGUGGGUAGCAAACAGGAUUAGAUACCCUGGUAGUCCACGCCCUAAACGAUGCAUACUUGGUGUGAGCGAUUCAUUUCGUUCGUGCCGGAGCUAACGCGUUAAGUAUGCCGCCUGGGGAGUACGGUCGCAAGGCUG
rnacentral:rRNA from 1 species